rnacentral:tRNA from 1 species
AAGAAGUUAGUUAAAAUAUAACAUUAAUAUGUCAUAUUAAAAUUAUUAAUAUAAUAAUACAUCUUU